GCUAAGGCCAAGGUCCAUCAUUCAUGAGGGCUUCAUGGAGGCUCUAGGGCCAGUUGGACCCUAGGUUGAAAGGCUGUGGGCCUUUCGGGUUCUUGAGGUCUAGGUUAUGUGGGCCUCAAGGGACCAAUUCUUUAUGGGUCAGGUCUGAGCCCAGGAUAGGUGAGAUUAGGUCGAGUCAUGGGUGUACAUGGGCUUGGGUUAACCUAAUCUCCCAUAGAGUUGGUCAAGGGAGUUUUGGGUUUGGGUCACUUGACCCUGUGUUUAUAUAUACAUACACUGUAUAGGUUUGAUUAAG
rnacentral:lncRNA from 1 species